UGCAUAUCAAUAAGCGGAGGAAAAGAAACCAACAGGGAUUGCCCUAGUAACGGCGAGUGAAGCGGCAACAGCUCAAAUUUGAAAUCUGGCGUCUUCGGCGUCCGAGUUGUAAUUUGCAGAGGGCGCUUUGGCAUUGGCAGCGGUCCAAGUUCCUUGGAACAGGACGUCACAGAGGGUGAGAAUCCCGUACGUGGUCGCUAGCCUUUACCGUGUAAAGCCCCUUCGACGAGUCGAGUUGUUUGGGAAUGCAGCUCUAAAUGGGAGGUAAAUUUCUUCUAAAGCUAAAUACUGGCCAGAGACCGAUAGCGCACAAGUAGAGUGAUCGAAAGAUGAAAAGCACUUUGGAAAGAGAGUUAAAAAGCACGUGAAAUUGUUGAAAGGGAAGCGCUUGCAGCCAGACUUGCCUGUAGUUGCUCAUCCGGGUUUUUACCCGGUGCACUCUUCUACGGGCAGGCCAGCAUCAGUUUGGGCGGUUGGAUAAAGGUCUCUGUCAUGUACCUCCUCUCGGGGAGAACUUAUAGGGGAGACGACAUGCAACCAGCCCGGACUGAGGUCCGCGCAUCUGCUAGGAUGCUGGCGUAAUGGCUGUAAGCGGCCCGUCUUGAAA
rnacentral:sRNA from 1 species